rnacentral:tRNA from 1 species
AAUAAAGUGCCUGAAUAAAGGAUUAUUCUGAUAGAAUAAAUAAUAUAGUUUAAAACUAUCUUUAUUA